rnacentral:rRNA from 1 species
CCGCCGGCGACCGGCGCACGGGUGAGUAACGCGUAUGCAACUUACCUAUCAGAGGGGGAUAACCCGGCGAAAGUCGGACUAAUACCGCAUGAAGCAGGGGCCCCGCAUGGGGAUAUUUGCUAAAGAUUCAUCGCUGAUAGAUAGGCAUGCGUUCCAUUAGGCAGUUGGCGGGGUAACGGCCCACCAAACCGACGAUGGAUAGGGGUUCUGAGAGGAAGGUCCCCCACAUUGGUACUGAGACACGGACCAAACUCCUACGGGAGGCAGCAG